CUCCCAGACUCCUACGGGAGGCAGCAGUGGGGAAUAUUGCACAAUGGGGGAAACCCUGAUGCAGCGACGCCGCGUGAGCGAUGAAGUCUUUCGGUAUGUAAAGCUCUAUCAGCAGGGAAGAAGAUGACGGUACCUGACUAAGAAGCCCCGGCUAACUACGUGCCAGCAGCCGCGGUAAUACGUAGGGGGCAAGCGUUAUCCGGAUUUACUGGGUGUAAAGGGAGCGUAGACGGCGAUGCAAGCCAGAUGUGAAAGCCCGGGGCUCAACCCCGGGACUGCAUUUGGAACUGUGUGGCUGGAGUGUCGGAGAGGCAGGCGGAAUUCCUAGUGUAGCGGUGAAAUGCGUAGAUAUUAGGAGGAACACCAGUGGCGAAGGCGGCCUGCUGGACGAUGACUGACGUUGAGGCUCGAAAGCGUGGGGAGCAAACAGGAUUAGAUACCCCCGUA
rnacentral:rRNA from 1 species